rnacentral:lncRNA from 1 species
GCUGAAGAACUACAGCUUAUGCAGCAGUUGGGGCCCAGCGACCUUUCACACCCACAUUGAGAGAAAUUCACAGCCACCAGCUCAGAGUGGGGCAAGGAGAGAGAUUGGCUUUCAUCGUCUGUCUCUAGCUUCUUCCAAUUCCUGAGAAUCGGGAAGACAUAAAGAACCAGAAUGCAUCACUCGAAGCAACUGCACUGAAUCCUGGCAGAUAUGUGCUCUGCUUUCCUGAGUAACCCUGGAGAAUUAGCAGCCAUUGCCAGGGCCCCUGAAAAGCUCUUGAGAAGGUCAGUCUUGUGCCCUGCAUUCCAAACCUCCCUAUUCUUUGAGUGUUCGCUUUUCACCCCAUUUAUUGUUCUCUAGCUAUUAAACUUUCUCCAGCUGUCAUCUGCCUUCUAAACUCUCUCCCUUCCCUGCCUGUUCUACUGAUGCACACAGAGAUUUGCCUCACUUCUUCACUGAGUUAAUGCUGCAGUCCCAUGGGUUCCCACCUGCUGUGACUGAUUAAAACACAUCUUAAGGGAUGAAUAAGACCUGAGGAAUAUUUGCAGUUUGGAAAAGUGGUCUAAUGUCUUACCUGAUCUUCUAGGACCUGCACUAUGUAGACAGGAUUGCAACCUCCUGUGUGCAUGAAGUCCCCUUUGUAAGCUAGGGGUUGCUAAACAAAGCCUUGCUUCAGUGGAAGUCACAUGUAAGCAGUCAUGGCCUUCUACGUGACAAGAGCCUCGUGGACAUCCCAAAGUCGUGGUUUUGGAGCUAAAGAAGAAUCCUCUAAUUACCAGAUCAAAUUCCUGAUUCUGUGCUGUAAAUGGAAGAGAUAUUUUUAUGUUAGGAAGGACCUGGGCUCAAUCAGCAUCAUAAAGUGAUACAGGAUGAGAAAAGAAGAGCUGUGAGCUGAGACAAGUCUUGG